rnacentral:rRNA from 1 species
UACAGAGACCUCAAGCGUUAUCCGGAUUUAUUGGGCGUAAAGCGUCCGCAGGUGGUUUAGCAAGUCAGGGGUCAAAACCCAACGCUUAACGUUGGGAUCGCUCUUGAUACUACUAGACUAGAGUACGGAAGAGGCAAGCGGAAUUCUCGGUGUAGUCGUAAUAAGCGUUGAUAUCGAGAAGAACACCAAAUGCGAAGGCAGCUUGCUAGUACGUAACUGACACUCAUGGACGAAAGCGUGGGGAGCAAACAGG